rnacentral:rRNA from 1 species
CCUACGGGAGGCAGCAGUGGGGAAUAUUGGACAAUGGGGGAAACCCUGAUGCAGCGACGCCGCGUGAGUGAAGAAGUAUUUCGUUAUGUAAAGCUCUAUGAGCGGGGAAGAAAAUGACGGUAUCUGAGUAAGAAACGCCGGCUAAAUACGUGCCCGCAGCCGCGGGAAUACGUGGGGGGGAAGCGUUAUCCGGAUUUACUGGGUGUAAAGGGAGCGUAGACGGGAGGGCAAGUCUGAAGUGAAAGGCGGGGGCUCAACCCCCGGACUGCUCUUGAAACUGUACGGCUGGAGUGCAGGAGAGGUAAGUGGAAUUCCUAGUGUAGCGGUGAAAUGCGUAGAUAUUAGGAGGAACACCAGUGGCGAAGGCGGCUUACUGGACUGUAACUGACGUUGAGGCUCGAAAGCGUGGGGAGCAAACAGGAUUAGAUACCCUUGUAGUC